AGAUCGUGUAAAUCUUUCGCCUUUUACUAAAGAUUUCCGUGGAGAGGAACAAUUCUGAGUUUUUACCCAGUUUUUUGAGGCCUUGCACUUGCAAGGCUUAUAAAGCUGUACUAAAAAUAGAGUUGUGUAGUAUGUAUGAGUUUUCUCGUCAAAUAAGAAUUUAGAACCGUGUUCACUUCCGUCGUUGGUGGUGUCUUUCAUCUUUUUUUCCGUGUUAGUGGCAGUGUUUUCAAGAGAGUUUACGCGGUGACGGAUUUCAGAGGGAGUGUGUUUCGUGUUUUUUCUCGGUGCGUCCGUGUUCUGUGCAGCUGCCGUGUUCUUCCUGUGUUGUCCUGCUCCUCUGGGACCCGUUUUCUUCCCUGCGGGUCUCGUCAUUCAUUUCUGCCGCAGCACUGGCCACCAUGACCCACGUGUGCACUUCAGAGAAAAGGCUGUAACUGUCCGUUCGCCCGUCUGGCGUCGGAAGCUGACCCAGCGCCAGGAACAAAGCCCAUGUGUCGCCUGCGUAGACGGACGAAGGGCGCAUGGGUCUCUCUACCGCUCCAACGGUUCCCUUAGUGUGAAGGUCGCUCAGGGUGGUCGUUACAUCCCUACCUAGUAGGUUGUCUAGAAAAAUACUCAUGUCUCAGGCAUCCUUUGGAUUGCAGCUUGUUCUCGCGGAACGUUCUGGAGGUCAGAAGUCUAAAAUCGAGGUGUUGGUGGGACUGCAUUCUUUCUAGAUGCUGCAGGAGAGAAUGUUUCCUUGCUUUUUUUGGCUUCGAGAAGCUGCCUGCAUUCCUCGGCCGGCCCCUCUGCAUAAUCCAGGAUAAUCUCUCCGUCUCAAGACCCUUAACUUCAUCACACCUGCAAAAUCCCUUUUACCAGGUGAGGGAAGAGUCACAGGCUCCAGGGGUAGGGUGGGGACGUAUUUGGAGGCCAUGACUCUGACCACCACAAUAAUGAUAUUGUAAUUAUGUAGGAGAAUGUUCUUAUUCAUAGUAGAAACAUAAUGUGAAGUAUUUAGUGGUGAAAUGUCAUGAUAUCUGAAUCUUUCAAACAGUUCAGUAAACACACAGAGAGAAAGCAAGUGUGUCAGAGAGUCUAGGUAUACAAUUAUUCCUUUUAUUAUUCUUUCAACUUUUUUGUAGUUUUGAACUUUUGAAAAUAAAAAGUUGGAGGAAAAGAAAUAUAUAUUGAUAAAUUCCAUGUAAUAUAUGCUUUAGAUACUUGCAUUAUACCGAAAAUUUCAUUUUAAAAAGUUCCCUUUAUUUUUUUUGAGGAAGAUUAGCUCUGAGCUAACUACUGCCAGUCCUCCUCUUUUUUGCUGAGGAAGCCUGGCCCUGAGCUAAAAUCGUGCCCAUCUUCCUCUACUUUAUACGUGGGACGCCUGCCCCAGCAUGGCUUUUGCCAAGCGGUGCCAUGUCUGCACCCAGGAUCUGAACCGGCAAACCCCAGGCCUCCCAAGUGGAACGUGCGCACUUGACUGCUGUGCCACCGGGCUGGCCCCAUUGUUUUUCUUAAACUAUGAUCGCCUUGGACCAGUGGUUUCUAGAUGUUUUGAUUUUCCAAUUAUUAAAAUUUCCAAAAAAUUUCUGGUGUACUGCUUUUUACCAUCAUUCUACAAAAGAAAGGCCAUUUCAAGACUAAAAACAGUAAGAAUGACUUGACCCCAAAUGAAAGGACUUUUCUUUGAAACAGGAAAUCCAUUUAGCUUUAUGGAAAACACGACUAUGUUUUGUUAACUUCUCUCUCUUCCCUCGACGCAAAUAGAGGAAAGCUGAGGGUCGACAUCAGUUUGGGGAAGGCUGGGGGCGGGGGCGGGGCUUAGACUAACAAUAUCAGGGCCUGUGGUGCCCUCUUGUGGCAGCCUGGGGAGUUACUUCCACCUGACCACUGCCUCUGCUUUGGAGGGACAACUCCCUCACACACCUCAGUCAGUCAGUCAUGC
rnacentral:lncRNA from 1 species